rnacentral:rRNA from 1 species
CCAGACUCCUACGGGAGGCAGCAGUGGGGAAUAUUGCGCAAUGGGGGAAACCCUGACGCAGCAACGCCGCGUGAGUGAAGAAGUAUCUCGGUAUGUAAAGCUCUAUCAGCGGGGAAGAAAGAGGACGGUACCCGACUAAGAAGCCCCGGCUAACUACGUGCCAGCAGCCGCGGUAAUACGUAGGGGGCGAGCGUUAUCCGGAUUUACUGGGUGUAAAGGGAGCGUAGACGGCGUCGCAAGUCUGAAGUGAAAGCCCGUGGCUCAACCGCGGAACCGCUUUGGAAACUGUAUGGCUGGAGUGCAGGAGAGGGAAGUGGAAUUCCUAGUGUAGCGGUGAAAUGCGUAGAUAUUAGGAGGAACACCAGUGGCGAAGGCGACUUACUGGACUGUAACUGACGUUGAGGCACGAAAGUGUGGGGAGCAAACAGGAUUAGAUACCCGGGUA